AGGUUAAGUUAAUAAGGGCGCAUGGUGGAUGCCUUGGCACUAGAAGGCGAUGAAGGACGUGACUAACUACGAUAUGCCUCGGUUAGCUGUAAGUAAGCUUACCCGGGGGUUUCCGAAUGGGGCAACCCGAUCUUAAUGAUCAUCAUCUUUUUGAAUUCAUAGAUUAGAUGAAGCAAACGCUGUGAACUGAAACAUCUCAGUAGCAGUAGGAAAGUAAAGAAAUUUCGAUUCCGUCAGUAGCGGCGAGCGAACGCGGAAGAGCCCAAACCUGGAUGCUUGCAUCCAGGGGUUGUAGGACUGAUGUUGAGUUACAAAGGUAUAAGAUAGCAGAAACAGUUGGGAAGCUGUUCCAAAGAGGGUGACAGGCCCGUAUGCGAAAUCUUGUACUCUCUAAUCAGGAUCCUGAGUACGGCCCAGCACGUGAAAUUGGGUCGGAAUCUGGGAGGACCAUCUCCCAAGGCUAAAUACUAACUAGUGACCGAUAGCGAACAAGUACCGUGAGGGAAAGGUGAAAAGAACCCCGGAAGGGGAGUGAAAUAGUUCUUGAAACCGUGUGCUUACAAGAAGUUCGAGGCCGUUAAUGGCUGAGAGCGUGCUUUUUGUAGAAUGAACCGGAGAGUUACGAUUGCGUGCAAGGUUAAGGUGCAAAGACUGGAGCCGUAGCGAAAGCGAGUCUUAAUAGGGCGAAUCAGUACGUAGUUGUAGACCCGAAACCGAGUGACCUAUCCAUGGUCAGGUUGAAGGUGGGGUAAUACCUACUGGAGGACCGAACAAGUGGGUGUUAAAAAACCCUUUGAUGAACUGUGGAUAGCGGUGAAAUUCCAAUCGAACUCGGAGAUAGCUGGUUCUAUCCGAAAUACAUUUAGGUGUAGCCUUGCAAUUAGCUUACUGGAGGUAGAGCACUAUUUGGUCUAGGGGCCCUUCAAGGGUUACCAAAAUCAGAUAAACUCCGAAUGCCAGCUAAGUAUGUGCAGGAGUCAGACGGUGAGUGAUAAGAUCCAUCGUCGAAAGGGGAACAGCCCAGAUCACCAGUUAAGGUCCCUAAAUAUAUGCUAAGUGGAAAACGUUGUGAAGGUGCAUAGACAACUAGGAGGUUGGCUCAGAAGCAGCCACCCUUUAAAGAGUGCGUAAUAGCUCACUAGUCGAGUGCUCUUGCGCGGAUAAUGUACCGGGGCUAAGCAUAUUACCGAAACUGUGGAUGCGUAAGCAUGGUAGGAUAGCGUAAUUAACGCGAUGAAGGAUGACCGUAAGGACAUGUUGGAGCGUUAACUAGUGAGAAUUCCGGUAUGAGUAGCGAAAGAUAGGUGAGAAUCCUAUCCACCGAAUGAGUAAGGUUUCCCCCGGAAGGCUCGUCCGCGGGGGGUUAGUCGGGACCUAAGGCGAGGCUGAAAAGCGUAGUCGAUGGACAACAGGUUGAUAUUCCUGUACCGAUAUUUAAUUGCCGAAGGAAGGACGCAGAAGGAUAACACAGGCCACUAUUGGAUGUGGUUUUAAACAGUUAGUCUUCAUAAGAGUCAAAUGCUUUUAUGUUUAAGGAUAAGCUGUGAAU
rnacentral:rRNA from 1 species